rnacentral:rRNA from 1 species
GAUGAACGCUGGCGGCGUGCCUAAUACAUGCAAGUCGAGCGAACGGACGAGAAGCUUGCUUCUCUGAUGUUAGCGGCGGACGGGUGUGUAACACGUGGAUAACCUACCUAUAAGACUGGGAUAACUUCGGGAAACCGGAGCUAAUACCGGAUAAUAUUUUGAACCGCAUGGUUCAAAAGUGAAAGACGGUCUUGCUGUCACUUAUAGAUGGAUCCGCGCUGCAUUAGCUAGUUGGUAAGGUAACGGCUUACCAAGGCAACGAUGCAUAGCCGACCUGAGAGGGUGAUCGGCCACACUGGAACUGAGACACGGUCCAGACUCCUACGGGAGGCAGCAGUAGGGAAUCUUCCGCAAUGGGCGAAAGCCUGACGGAACAACGCCGCGUGAGUGAUGAAGGUCUUCGGAUCGUAAAACUCUGUUAUUAGGGAAGAACAUAUGUGUAAGUAACUGUGCACAUCUUGACGGUACCUAAUCAGAAAGCCACGGCUAACUACGUG